rnacentral:lncRNA from 1 species
CUAGUCUCUCAUAGAAACUUCUGGCCUCUGGACACUGUGGGAGCAACUUUUCCUUUAUUAGACUGUCUCCUCUUUAACUGAAGAUACUUUAGCACAGCAAGCAUCUCUUUUAUGCUUACAUUAUGCAGUUAUGCAGACUUGGUGUACGUCCUUCAAGGACAGUCUAAGAAUCUUUGAUUCUAUUUCUGCUGGAUACAUUGUUGCAGAGAUGAAUAUUGCAGCAUGACUGGGAAGCCUGUCCUUCAUUACUUCAAUUGAAGAAGAAGAAUGGAGUCCAUCCGGUGGCUCCUGGCAGCAGCUGGAGUAGAGUUUGAGGAAGAACUUUUUGAAACCCAUGAAGAGUUUGAGAAGUUAAUCCAAGGUGGAACCCUGAUAAGAGAAGGAGAUGAACCUUGAAUACAUCCUCCACCGAGCUACAACAAGAUUCUUCCCCGUUUAUGAGAAGGCCCUGAGAGACCACGGGCAAGACUUUCUUGUGGGCAAUCGGCUGAGCUUGGCUGAUGUCCAGCUCCUUGAAGUCAUCUUAAUGGCUGAAGAAUGCAAAGCCAGUGUUCUCUCGGGUUUCCCUCUGCUACAGGACUUCAAGGUGAGAACCAGCCAAAUUCCUACAAUUAACAGCUUCCUCCAACCUGGAAGCCAGAGGAAGCCUCCUUUGGAGGAGCGAUCCAUUGGGACUGCAAAGGACAUAUUCAAAUUUGAAUGAGGACUGUUUCUUAAAAACAUGAGCAAUAUAGUAGCUGAGUAUUAACAGCUACAGAGGCUGGAGUUACUCAGUAAGUAUACUGAGUAACUUGACACUGCAUUCAUAAAAAGACACUCACUAAGUAUAUGGCCAGAGAAAUAUCCUGAAGUUAGUAAUAAAUGUUAGGAAUCUUAGUAUGUUAGCAAUGUUAGAAUGUUAGUAAUGGAAAUAUUAAAUGUGUAAGAGAAAAACUACUAGAAGCUUAUCAAUAAACUACAAGAACCAACUCUUGUUUGAAGUAAGACAGGCUACCAAGACAGAAUUCAGAAAAUCCAAGGAGCCCUCGGCCUUCUGUAUGAUCCUAGAAUAAACUUGUAUGUAGCAAGUGAAA